ACAAACUUGGUCAUUUAGAGGAAGUAAAAGUCGUAACAAGGUUUCCGUAGGUGAACCUGCGGAAGGAUCAUUACCGAGUACCGGGGCCCUAGGUCCCUACUCCCACCCUUUGUUGACUGAAACUGUUGCUUUGGCGGGCCGGCUGAUGCCGCCGGCUCUGGCUGGAGAGCGCCCGCCAGAGGCCCCAAAACUCAACUUAAAGUACGAUUUCUGAGUCUUGAAAAUAGAAGCAAAACUUUCAACAACGGAUCUCUUGGUUCUGGCAUCGAUGAAGAACGCAGC
rnacentral:misc_RNA from 1 species